GUAGGUGGCAAGCGUUGUCCGGAAUUAUUGGGCGUAAAGCGCGCGCAGGCGGUUCUUUAAGUCUGAUGUGAAAGCCCACGGCUCAACCGUGGAGGGUCAUUGGAAACUGGAGAACUUGAGUACAGAAGAGGAAAGCGGAAUUCCACGUGUAGCGGUGAAAUGCGUAGAGAUGUGGAGGAACACCAGUGGCGAAGGCGGCUUUCUGGUCUGUAACUGACGCUGAGGCGCGAAAGCGUGGGGAGCAAACAGGGAUUAGAUACCCUGGUAGUCCACGCCGUAAACGAUGAGUGCUGAGUGUUAGGGGGUUUCCGCCCCCCUUAGUGCUGCAGCUAACGCAUUAAGCACUCCGCCUGGGAGUACGGCCGCAAGGCUG
rnacentral:rRNA from 1 species